AGAGUUUGAUCAUGGCUCAGGAUGAACGCUGGCGGCGUGCCUAACACAUGCAAGUCGAGCGUGAUUAAGUGGAGUGCGAACUUCGGUUCAAGUGAAGCUUAUGAAAGCGGCGGACGGGUGAGUAACGCGUGGGCAACCUGCCCCAUACAAAGGGAUAGCCACUGGAAACGGUGAUUAAUACCUUAUAAGUCAGUAGCACCGCAUGGUGUAGCUGACGAAGAUUUAUCGGUAUGGGAUGGGCCCGCGUCUGAUUAGCUAGUUGGUGAGGUAACGGCUCACCAAGGCGACGAUCAGUAGCCGACCUGAGAGGGUGAUCGGCCACACUGGAACUGAGACACGGUCCAGACUCCUACGGGAGGCAGCAGUGGGGAAUAUUGCACAAUGGGCGCAAGCCUGAUGCAGCAACGCCGCGUGAGUGAAGAAGGCCUUCGGGUCGUAAAACUCUGUCCUAUGGGAAGAAAAAAAUGACGGUACCAUGGGAGGAAGCCCCGGCUAACUACGUGCCAGCAGCCGCGGUAAUACGUAGGGGGCAAGCGUUAUCCGGAAUCACUGGGCGUAAAGGGUGCGUAGGUGGCUUAUCAAGCCAGGGGUGAAAGGCAUUGGCUCAACCAAUGUAAGCCUUUGGAACUGAUAGGCUUGAGUGCAGGAGAGGUAAGUGGAAUUCCUAGUGUAGAGG
rnacentral:rRNA from 1 species